ensembl:lncRNA
AUGUUGAACAUAAUGUCUCUGACAAGAAGACCACGUGGACUGUGGACUUGGAACCCCCCAGAGGCAAGCGAAGCUGACAGCUCAGGAGAAUCUGAUGACACAGUCAUUGAAGAUGGUGUAACUGUUCCUCCAUCUGUUCUUCCUGCAUCUUCUGAUGCAGCAGUUUCAACUGAUCCUAACCCUCCUUCUGAAAAUCCCAAUCAUAUCACUGAGGAAAAUAAGUCCCCUCCACCAAAGUCUGAGAGGAAGCUGAUGCAGGUUCCUACAAUAAAUGUUAUUGAGACAGAUGAGCCAAAUUACAGUGACGAGGAGAUGGAAAUGGAAAUUGAAGAUGAUGAUUACGAGGCUGAAAAAGAUAUUGCUAGAGAAUCUCCAAAAACCCUAGAGCAAGGUGACAGUAAAAAUGAACUACCCAAAGUACGGCCCUUAGAAACCGAAUUUAUGGAAGGCUACUCUCCUCCAUCCUCACCUGUGCACUCAGAUGAUGAAUACUCUCCUAAACACAACAUCCUCAAAUCUAUUCCUGAAACUGUACAUCAGGAAUCUGCAUCAGCACUUGAGGCACAAUUUGAAAAACCCUGCACCACAUUCAGUACAGUAAAGGAUGAACCUUCCCCUUUCAUAGUCAUACAUGAAGACGUGAAAUUCCCAGACAAUGAUGAAGACUGGUCUGAUGAAGCACAAGAUAUCCUGGUCAAACCUUGUGUGACUCCUCAUUCUCAGCCCAAGGUGGAUGAAAGGAGCAACACGGUUGCAAAAGAUGCUUACAUGGAGACUACUCCCCAAUCUAAAAGCAGCUUCAUGCAAGAUGAUAUUUAUGACCGACAGUCGUUUGAUUACGAGUAUGAUGGAUCCUCUAUCUUGGAUGACAUUGAUGACAGAGGGUUAAACAAUGCUAGGCAGCGGUUUCUUUCGGAUCCUAUUCAAAUUGAACCACUGAAUUCGUGCACUCAAAAUCUGGAGGACUUCCCUGCAGUGAGUGAAGAAGCCCUCCCCGAGCCAAUUGGUGAACCAUCUCUAAGAGAAUAUCCCCAAGAUCCAUAUUCCUCUAUCCAAGGUGAAAAACAAAGCAGCAUCAACGAGCAAGAUUUAAUUAAAAAAAUGACCACUGAUGUUGUUACAGAUAACAUGGCAAAUUGCUGCUCCCUCCCAGAACAGAGCGCUGCA